UACAGAGACUGCAAGCGUUAUUCGGAUUCACUGGGCGUAAAGGGUGCGCAGGCGGCCGUGUGUGUCAGGUGUGAAAGCCCGGAGCUUAACUCCGGAAUUGCGCCUGAAACUACAUGGCUAGAGCAUUGGAGAGGGAAGUGGAAUUCACGGUGUAGCAGUGAAAUGCGUAGAUAUCUGGAGGAACACCGGUGGCGAAGGCGACAUCCUGGACCGGUAUUGACGCUGAGGCGCGAAAGCCAGGGGAGCAAACGGG
rnacentral:rRNA from 1 species